rnacentral:rRNA from 1 species
AUUGAACGCUGGCGGCAGGCCUAAUACAUGCAAGUCGAGCGGAUGAAGGGAGCUUGCUCCUGGAUUCAGCGGCGGACGGGCGAGUAAUGCCUAGGAAUCUGCCUGGUAGUGGGGGAUAACGUCCGGACACGGGCGCUAAUACCGCAUACGUUCUGAGGGAGAAAGUGGGGGAUCUUCGGACCUCACGCUAUCAGAUGAGCCUAGGUCGGAUUAGCUAGUUGGUGAGGUAAAGGCCUACCAAGGCGACGAUCCGUAACUGGUCUGAGAGGAUGAUCAGUCACACUGGAACUGAGACACGGUCCAGACUCCUACGGGAGGCAGCAGUAGGGAAUAUUGGGCAAUGGGCGAAAGCCUGAAGCAGCCAUGCCGCGUGUGUGAAGAAGGUCUUCGGAUUGUAAAGCACUUUAAGUAGGGAAGAAGAGAAGUAAGUGAAUACCUUGCUGUUUUGACGUUACCAACAGAGAAAGCACCGGCUAACUUCGUG